GACCUCUUCGGAGGUCAGCGGCGGACGGGUGAGGAACACGUGGGUAAUCUGCCUUUCAGACCGGAAUAACGCCCGGAAACGGGCGCUAAUGCCGGAUACGCCCGCGAGGAGGCAUCUUCUUGCGGGGAAAGGCCCAAAUGGGCCGCUGAGAGAGGAGCCCGCGGCGCAUUAGCUGGUUGGCGGGGUAACGGCCCACCAAGGCGACGAUGCGUAGCCGACCUGAGAGGGUGACCGGCCACACUGGGACUGAGACACGGCCCAGACUCCUACGGGAGGCAGCAGUAGGGAAUCUUCCGCAAUGGGCGCAAGCCUGACGGAGCAACGCCGCGUGAGCGAAGAAGGCCUUCGGGUUGUAAAGCUCUGUUGCUCGGGGAGAGCGGCAUGGGGAGUGGAAAGCCCCAUGCGAGACGGUACCGAGUGAGGAAGCCCCGGCUAACUACGUGCCAGCAGCCGCGGUAAAACGUAGGGGGCGAGCGUUGUCCGGAAUCACUGGGCGUAAAGGGUGCGUAGGCGGUCGAGCAAGUCUGGAGUGAAAGUCCAUGGCUCAACCAUGGGAUGGCUCUGGAAACUGCUUGACUUGAGUGCUGGAGAGGCAAGGGGAAUUCCACGUGUAGCGGUGAAAUGCGUAGAGAUGUGGAGGAAUACCAGUGGCGAAGGCGCCUUGCUGGACAGUGACUGACGCUGAGGCACGAAA
rnacentral:rRNA from 1 species